CCUACGGGCGGCAGCAGUGGGGGAUAUUGCACAAUGGGGGGAACCCUGAUGCAGCGACGCCGCGUGGGUGAAGAAGCGCCUCGGCGCGUACAGCCCUGUCAGCAGGGAAGAAAAUGACGGUACCUGAAGAAGAAGCCCCGGCUAACUACGUGCCAGCAGCCGCGGUAAUACGUAGGGGGCAAGCGUUAUCCGGAUUUACUGGGUGGAAAGGGGGCGCAGACGGCGAUGCAAGCCAGGAGUGAAAGCCCGGGGCCCAACCCCGGGACUGCUCUUGGAACUGCGUGGCUGGAGUGCAGGAGGGACAGGCGGAAUUCCUGGUGUAGCGGUGAAAUGCGUAGAUAUCAGGAGGAACACCGGUGGCGAAGGCGGCCUGCUGGACUGCAACUGACGUUGAGGCCCGAAAGCGUGGGGAGCAAACAGGAUUAGAUACCCUUGUAGUC
rnacentral:rRNA from 1 species